AAAGUUUUACUAGAGCGGUUUACCCAAAAUUUAACCUUUUUAAUCUUUACUGAAAGAAAACACUCUCCCACAAAAAGUAAAAUAAUUUGAACCUUUGUUUACUCAAGCGCAAGUAUCGCAAGAGAAAAUUGAAAUAACUCUUAGAACCAACACUCAGAUAAGGAAAGAUUAGUACUUUUACCUUGUGUAUAAUGGAUUGACUAGAUUAAAAAGAAGAUUCUUUUUUCCCGAAGCCAGACGAGCUAACCCCGGCUUCUUUUUAGAAGAAUAUGCUCACUGUUGCAGUAGUGAACAAAAAGCUAGGGUUAGAUGUUAUAUGCUAAACGCGCCUGGCGAUAGCUGGUUCGCCGAGAAAUUGGUCUUAGCCAAGCUCUCGAGGAGAAACACAAAAGUUGUUGCCUGUGCAUGAACAGACCAUUUAAGUUUCCACUCGGAAGAGUUAAAGGGGCAGGGACAAGCCUGCCCCUUAAAACGGAAAACUCCGACCACUCUAGGAAAAGACAAUAAGUUUUCACAAAUGGAACCAUGGAGAAAUAGGCCUAGAAGCAGCCACUUCAGCGGAAAGCGUUAAAGCUCAACUAUCCAGAAACCAAAAAAUUCUUGUUCCAACUUAUCUGACCCUGAAUAUCAUUAUCGGCGUCUUUUCUCUUGAAAAAAAUUUAUGUUAAUAUGAGUAAGUCUUUGUCUUAUUUGAGACUUUUAGACAGCAAUUACCGUGGAAUAAGAAAACAAUAUCACUAUAAAAAAUAUUUUUUAUACUGUCUUUCAACUCAGAAAAGACCUUUUUCUAAAUCAGAGAUAAGAAGGAACUCGGCAAAUACGAGCUUCGCCUGUUUACCAAAAACAUCGCUCUUCGAUCUUCAAGCAUGAAGAGUCCUGCCUGCCCAGUGACUGCAAAGUUAAACGGCCGCGGUAUCUUGACCGUGCGAAGGUAGCAUAAUUAUUUGUCUCCUAAAUAGAGACUGGCAUGAAUGGCAAGACGGGGCCCUACUGUCUCCUUAUCUCCUACCUGAAAUUCACAUCUUUGUGAAGAGGCAAAGAUAAAAUCGUUAGACGAGAAGACCCUAUCGAGCUUAAACUAAAGCAAAAGCCUAAAUCCCCCUCACCAUUUAUCUAAUUAAGUUCAUUUAGUAAAGGCCCGAGAGAUGGUUUUUUGCAGUAGUUUUAGUUGGGGCAACUGCGGAGAAGUAGACCCUCCGCUACAAUUUAAGCUUCUAGGAAGACUGUCCUGAAACAGUGCUAAAGAGUGAUCCACUUAGGUGAUCAAAGGAACAAGUUACCGUAGGGAUAACAGCGUAAUCUUUUCCGAGAGUUCAUAUUGACAAAAAGGUUUGCGACCUCGAUGUUGGAUCGGGACAUCCUAAUAGUGCAGAAGCUUUUAAGGGUUGGUCUGUUCGACCAUUAAAGUCCUACGUGAUCUGAGUUCAGACCGGCGAGAGCCAGGUCAGUUUCUAUCUACGAAUUUCUCUCUCUUAGUACGAAAGGACCAGAGAGGGGGUGCCAAUGCCUCCUGUAAGCACUUUAAAUUAAAAAC
rnacentral:rRNA from 1 species